rnacentral:rRNA from 1 species
GACGAACGCUGGCGGCGUGCUUAACACAUGCAAGUCGAACGAUGAACUCCCAGCUUGCUGGGGGGGAUUAGUGGCGAACGGGUGAGUAACACGUGAGUAACCUGCCCUGGACUCUGGGAUAACCCCGAGAAAUCGGAGCUAAUACCGGAUAGGACCCUGUACCGCAUGGUGUGGGGUGGAAAGUUUUUCGGUCUGGGAUGGACUCGCGGCCUAUCAGCUUGUUGGUGAGGUAAUGGCUCACCAAGGCGUCGACGGGUAGCCGGCCUGAGAGGGUGACCGGCCAGACUGGGACUGGGACCCGGCCCAAACUACUUCGGGAGGCAGCCGUGGGGAAUAUUAACGCAGGGGCGCAGGCCUGAUGCAGCAAGGCCGCGUGCGGGUUGACGGCCUUCGGGUUGUAAACCGCUUUUAGUAAGGAAGAAGGGGAGCUUGCUCCUUGACGGUACUUGCAGAAAAAGGACCGGCUAACUACGUGCCAGCCGCCGCCGUAAAAC